UACGGAGGGGGCGAGCGUUGUCCGAAGUUACUGGGCGUAAAGCGCGCGUAGGCGGGUUGGUAAGUCCGCUGUGAAAGCCCGGAGCUUUAACUCCGGAGGGUCGGUGGAUACUGCCAGUCUUGAAGGUGCUAGGGGGAGAUGGAAUUACCGGUGUAGCGGUGAAAUGCGUAGAUAUCGGUAGGAACACCAGUGGCGAAGGCGGUCUCCUGGGGCAUUCUUGACGCUGAGGCGCGAAAGCUGGGGGAGCAAACGGG
rnacentral:rRNA from 1 species